CCCUUAGAUGUUCUGGGCCGCACGCGCGCUACACUGACGAAUGCAACGAGCUUAUAACCUUGGCCGAAAGGUCUGGGUAAUCUCCAAAUUUCGUCGUGAUGGGGAUAGAUUAUUGCAAUUAUUAAUCUUCAACGAGGAAUGCCUAGUAAGCGCAAGUCAUCAGCUUGCGUUGAUUACGUCCCUGCCCUUUGUACACACCGCCCGUCGCUCCUACCGAUUGAAUGGUCCGGUGAAGCGUUCGGACCGUGGCCUUUGGACGGUUCGCCGUCUGUUGUCUGCGGGAAGUUCGUUAAACCUUAUCAUUUAGAGGAAGGAGAAGUCGUAACA
rnacentral:rRNA from 1 species